UAUGGGGAAAUGCAGAACUUGAGAGAAGCUCUCCUGCUCCCAAGAAGGAGGGAAACCUAGACGUUUGGAGUCUUUCAGGAAGUUAUUUAAAAUCAAGAGGUGGAGAAGAGAGCCCAGAAGAGCUACAGAGGGAGAGGUGGAUUGGUGUUGAAAGUUUUUGCGAUGAUGCAGGUGGGUUUCAAGUUCAAUUGAACUCAUUCACGUCAAGGAGUCAGAAGAACGAUGGCAUUCUGGCUUGUAGAACG